GUAGCAAUACGAUGGAAAAUUUAGUGGCGAACGGGUGCUUAACACGUGGGCAACCUGCCAUGAAGUGGGGGAUAGCUCGCCGAAAGGCGAAUUAAUACCGCAUGUGAUUAGAGAGGACAUCCUUUCGAAAUUAAAGUCGGGGCAACCUGACGCUUCUUGUGGGGCCCGCGGCCUAUCAGCUAGUUGGUGAGGUAACGGCUCACCAAGGCUUUGACGGGUAGCUGGUCUGAGAGGACGACCAGCCACACUGGGACUGAGACACGGCCCAGACACCUACGGGUGGCAGCAGUCGAGAAUUUUUGACAAUGGGGGAAACCCUGAUCGAGCGACGCCGCGUGGAGGAUGAAGGUCUUCGGAUUGUAGACUCCUGUCAUUUGGGAACAAGGUGCACACGUUAACUGCGUGCGUAUUGAUAGUACCAGAAGAGGAA
rnacentral:rRNA from 1 species